AUGCUGAAAGUAGACUGGGUCAUGGCAAAGGGUUCAAAUGGACCGCCCCCCACCCCAUCUCAGAAGUUAUCGUUCCGGAGCCGAGCAACGUCUGUAUCCGCACUGUUCUUCAUGAAUUUUAACCCAAAUAUCAAAAAAACCAAAUGUCAUUCAAAUCCAAAGCUUCUGUCGUCAACAAGUCCCAACAAAUGGACGUGGCUUUGCUCCAAGACUUCUCUGUAUGGGUUUGCAAGGCUGCACUUUUGCAAUUCCAUUAUGCUGCUGGAAAAAUACACCCUGAAAACAAGAGUCUCAACAAGAGUUUGGAAUGGUUUUCCAGUGUAUUGUGACAAUUUUUUUGUCUGAUUCUUGUCUAGCUGGUUGUCCAAAGCUUACUUUUGAAUACAGUGUGAAAAGCUGUAUCUUUUGUGGAUGUAACAAAAUAGAAAAGUAGUCUGCAGCACAAUAUGUCGUGGACACGUGAAAGCAUUCACGCAUUCUUUUCUUGUAGACCAUAGCUCACAGCCCUACCCUGCACAUCAGGUUAAUGGGCCUGCCUGUGUAGAAGGACAAGCAUGUCCAAGCUCAUUUUGAAAUGUUAAACCAAUACAAUAUGCUCGGGGAGCAAAACCAUUUUCUUUAAUGGAGGUUUCCAGCAAGGCUUACAUAAGAGAAACAGUUCCUAUCCUUUCAAUCUUUUCUCUCCAAUUCCUCGUCUCUGUGCUCAUCACAAGGCCUGAGUAAUGUUCCUAUGCACUUGUUAGCAUGUUUUACUGGUAGAAAAUCGUUUGUUCAGAGAAGUUGCCCCCUCUGUAUUUAGUUUUAUUUUUGUUCAAAUGCAUUAGGCAGGGAGUUUGUAAGAAGCAAGGAUGAGCAGAGAGAUAUAUGUUUUACUGGUGGAAAUAAGAAUAAAAGCUAGAAGCAGAUUUUAAAACAUUAGCUUAGCCAUUGAUUUCUAUAUCCUGACAGGCAUGGAGACAGCAGCCUCCUGUAAAAUGACAAAACUGUUUUUUUAUCCAUUUUUUCCUUUCUGUUCUCUACCAGACAAAUCCCUUUGAAAUCUCUCAAGCAUUUCAUUGAUUGCAGAAAUGCAAACAAAGUUAGCACACAACACAUUCCACGUGUUUUCCUCAAAGCCCUUCAAACUGUAUCAUGUUGGCUUUCAGAGUGGGUGUCUGCAGGAUCAAGUGGCCGAUAUUCAAUUAAACUGAUACAAAGUUUUCCACUGGCCGGCCAAUCCAAAAGAUAACUAGAUUCCAACUCCCGUGAGAAAUGACGAUGAGCUGUCAUUAUCUCGGUGCAUUGAAAUGAGACUGCCUCCACCCAGAAUAGCACAGGCCCCUCCUGGCUUUGUUGCGACACAUUCUCCGUCUUUGUAACCACUGUGUCCAGAAACACUCACAUGCAGAAAAACUGAAGGAGAAAUGCAGUCCAUGGGUUUACACAGCAUCACAAUAGUGUUACUUGGUCUCGAGCAGAUACCAUCUGAAAGACAAUGUAUUACUUCAAAAAAUUAUAUUCUGUUUAUGGUGUGUGCUCCUAUUACUCACCAGGCCAAAUGUACAGUCCCUGUCUCUGUUUUGAUGUUGAACUGGGCAAAAAUAAAUGACAUGAAUAAAUAAAUAAAACAAGUGUAUCAGAAAUGGUUGAAAUACUGUGUACAUAUAUUUGAACUUUCAGUUUCUAAUUUAUAAAAAAUAAGCUUUAGCUCUUGGAGUACUUAUUUUAUUUUUUCCUUUCAUGCGUAGCUUUGUGUUUUUAUUUUCUAUUUCUGUAAAGUGUGUAAAUAUAUCUUUAUGAUAAUAAGUAAUAUUAAAAAUCUUAUUUUAAGAGAAAGGUGUCAGGUGUUUUCAUUUCCUUCAUGACAUGUUG
rnacentral:lncRNA from 1 species